AGCGAACGCUGGCGGUAGGCCUAACACAUGCAAGUCGAACGGCAGCACAGUAAGAGCUUGCUCUUACGGGUGGCGAGUGGCGGACGGGUGAGGAAUACAGCGGAAGCUACUUUUUCGUGGGGGAUAACGUAGGGAAACUUACGCUAAUACCGCCUACGACCUACGGGUGAAAGCAGGGGAUCUUCGGACCUUGCGCGAUUGAAUGAGCCGAUGUCGGAUUAGCUAGUUGGCGGGGUAAGGGCCCACCAAGGCGACGAGCCGUAGCUGGUCUGAGAGGAUGAUCAGCCACACUGGAACUGACACACGGUCCAGACUCCUACGGGAGGCAGCAGUGGGGAAUAUUGGACAAUGGGCGCAAGCCUGAUCCAGCCAUACCGCGUGGGUGAAGAAGGCCUUCGGGUUGUAAAGCCCUUUUGUUGGGAAAGAAAAGCAGCAGGUUAAUACCCCGCUGUUCUGACGGUACCCAAAGAAUAAGCACGGGCUAACUUCGUG
rnacentral:rRNA from 1 species